rnacentral:rRNA from 1 species
GCUCAGGGAUGAACGCUAGCGGCAGGCUUAAUACAUGCAAGUCGUGGGGCAGCAGGUCCCGAGCAAUCGGGAUGCUGGCGACCGGCAAACGGGUGCGGAACACGUACACAACCUUCCUUUAAGUGGGGAAUAGCCCGGGGAAACCCGGAUUAAUACCCCGUAAUAUAAUGAGGUGGCAUCACUUUAUUAUUAUAGCUCCGGCGCUUGAAGAUGGGUGUGCGGCUGAUUAGGCAGUUGGCGGGGUAACGGCCCACCAAACCUACGAUCAGUAACUGGUGUGAGAGCACGACCAGUCACACGGGCACCGAGACACGGGCCCGACUCCUACGGGAGGCAGCAGUAAGGAAUAUUGGUCAAUGGACGCAAGUCUGAACCAGCCAUGCCGCGUGGAGGAUGAAGGUCCUCUGGAUUGUAAACUUCUUUUAUCUGGGAAGAAACCCAAGAUUUCUAUUUUGGUUGACGGUACCAGAUGAAUAAGCACCGGCUAACUCCGUGCCAGCAGCCGCGGUAAUACGGAGGGUGCAAGCGUUAUCCGGAUUCACUGGGUUUAAAGGGUGCGUAGGUGGGUUGGUAAGUCAGUGGUGAAAUCUCCAGGCUUAACUUGGAAACUGCCAUUGAUACUAUUAAUCUUGAAUACCGUGGAGGUCAGCGGAAUAUGUCAUGUAGCGGUGAAAUGCUUAGAUAUGACAUAGAACACCAAUUGCGAAGGCAGCUGGCUACACGAAUAUUGACACUGAUGCACGAAAGCGUGGGGAUCAAACAGGAUUAGAUACCCUGGUAGUCCACGCCCUAAACGAUGGAUACUCGACAUACGCGAUAUACUGUGUGUGUCUGAGCGAAAGCAUUAAGUAUCCCACCUGGGAAGUA